AUUGAACGCUGGCGGCAUGCCUUACACAUGCAAGUCGAACGGCAGCGGGGACUUCGGUCCGCCGGCGAGUGGCGAACGGGUGAGUAAUGUAUCGGAACGUACCAUUCAGUGGGGGAUAACUAUCCGAAAGGAUAGCUAAUACCGCAUAUUCUGUGAGCAGGAAAGCAGGGGAUCGCAAGACCUUGCGCUGAUUGAGCGGCCGAUAUCAGAUUAGCUAGGUGGUGAGGUAACGGCUCACCAAGGCUACGAUCUGUAGCGGGUCUGAGAGGAUGAUCCGCCACACUGGGACUGAGACACGGCCCAGACUCCUACGGGAGGCAGCAGUGGGGAAUUUUGGACAAUGGGCGCAAGCCUGAUCCAGCCAUGCCGUGUGAGUGAAGAAGGCCUUCGGGUUGUAAAGCUCUUUCGGCCGGGAAGAAAUCGCAUCAGCUAAUAUCUGGUGUGGAUGACGGUACCGGAAUAAGAAGCACCGGCUAACUACGUGCCAGCAGCAGCCGCAG
rnacentral:rRNA from 1 species